rnacentral:lncRNA from 1 species
UUGGAGUUUUUGUUAUAUUUUUGAAAGAAAGUUAGCAUACCUUUUUAUUCUCAUAGGUUCUCUCAGAUCACUCAUUAUCUUUUAUAUAUAUAUCUCACUGAGGUUGUUUUAUUUUUGCAAAAAUUCUCAAGCAUUCUUACUUUGUAUUUAUUGCCUGAUCAAAACGGGAUCCGAGGAGGGGAAUGUCAUACUCUUAGAUCCAAGACUUUGGAAAUUAAAAUCUUUGUCAACUCUUGCUGGCAUAUUGCUUAUUAGAGGGACCAUGGGCUA